rnacentral:rRNA from 1 species
GAGUUUGAUCCUGGCUCAGGACGAACGCUGGGGGCGGGCCUAAUACAUGCAAGUCGAACGCACUCGACCUUCGGGUCACAUGAGUGAGUGGCGAACGGGUGAGUAACACGUGAGGAACCUGCCCUGAAGACCGGAAUAACCCGAGGAAACUCGAGCUAAUACCGGAUAUCCCCAUCUGGUCGCAUGGCCUAAUGAGGAAAUGUUCAGGCGCUUCAGGAGGGUCUCACGGCCUAUCAGCUAGUUGGUGAGGUAACGGCUCACCAAGGCAUCGACGGGUAGCUGGUCUGAGAGGACGAUCAGCCACACUGGGACUGAGACACGGCCCAGACUCCUACGGGAGGCAGCAGUAGGGAAUCUUGCGCAAUGGGCGAAAGCCUGACGCAGCCACGCCGCGUGAGGGAUGAAGGCUCUCGGGUUGUAAACCUCUUUCAGCAGGGACGAAAAUGACGGUACCUGCAGAAGAAGCUCCGGCCAACUACGUGCCAGCAGCCGCGGUAACACGUAGGGAGCGAGCGUUGUCCGGAAUUAUUGGGGCGUAAAGAGCUCGUAGGCGGUUCAGUAAGUCAGGUGUGAAAACUCGAGGCUCAACCUCGAGAGGCCACCUGAUACUGCUGUGACUGGAGUCCGGUAGAGGAGUGUGGAAAUUCCUGGUGUAGCGGUGAAAUGCGCAGAUAUCAGGAGGGAACACCAAACAGCGAAAGGCAGCACUCUGGGGCCCGG